rnacentral:rRNA from 1 species
CUUAGCCCUUAACAUAGACAAUACAAACACAAUAUUGUCCGCCAGAGAACUACAAGUGAAAAACUAGAAACUCCAAGGACUUGGCGGUGCCCCACAUCAACCUAGAGGAGCCUGUCCUAUAAUCGAUAAUCCACGCUGUACCUCACCAUUUCUAGCAAGUCAGCCUAUAUACCGCCGUCGAAAGCCUACCUUAUGAAAGAAACAAAGUAAGCAAAAUAGUCAACAACUAACACGUCAGGUCAAGGUGUAGCAAAUGAAAUGGAAGAGAUGGGCUACAUUUUCUACAUCAGAAAACACGAACAGCACAAUGAAAUCUGUACUAAAAGGCGGAUUUAGCAGUAAGACAAAAAAGAAACUUUGCCUUAAACCCGCU